rnacentral:rRNA from 1 species
AUUGAACGCUGGCGGCAGGCCUAACACAUGCAAGUCGAGCGGAUGAAGGGAGCUUGCUCCUGGAUUCAGCGGCGGACGGGUGAGUAAUGCCUAGGAAUCUGCCUGUUAGUGGGGGAUAACGUCCGGAAACGUGCGCUAAUACCGCAUACGUCCUGAGGGAGAAAGUGGGGGAUCUUCGGACCUCACGCUAUCAGAUGAGCCUAGGUCGGAUUAGCUAGUUGGUGGUGUAAUGGCCUACCAAGGCGACGAUCCGUAACUGGUCUGAGAGGAUGAUCAGUCACACUGGAACUGAGACACGGUACAGACUCCUACGGGAGGCAGCAGUGGGGAAUAUUGGACAAUGGGAGAAAGCCUGAGCCAGCCAUGCCGCGUGUGUGAAGAAGGUCUUCGGAUGGGAAAGCACUUUAAGUUGGGAGGAAGGGCAGUAAGUUAAUACCUUGCUGUUUUGACGGUACCAACAGAAUAAGCACCGGCUAACUUCGUG